UAGGGAAUAUUGGUCAAUGGGUGAGAGCCUGAACCAGCCAUGCCGCGUGCAGGAAGACGGCCUUCUGGGUUGUAAACUGCUUUUACCGGGGGAUAAAAUUCCCAUGCGUGGGACAUUGAAGGUACCCGGUGAAUAAGCCACGGCUAACUACGUGCCAGCAGCCGCGGUAAUACGUAGGUGGCAAGCGUUGUCCGGAUUUAUUGGGUUUAAAGGGUGCGUAGGCGGCUUUUUAAGUCAGUGCUGAAAUAUCCCGGCUUAACCGGGAGGGUGGCAUUGAUACUGGAAAGCUUGAGUGAAGUCGAAGUAGGCGGAAUUGACGGUGUAGCGGUGAAAUGCUUAGAUAUCGUCAAGAACACCGAUAGUGUAGACAGUUUACUAGGCUUUAACUGACGCUGAGGCACGAAAGUGUGGGGAUCAAACAGG
rnacentral:rRNA from 1 species